rnacentral:rRNA from 1 species
AUUGAACGCUGGCGGCAGGCCUAACACAUGCAAGUCGAGCGGAUGAAGGGAGCUUGCUCCUGGAUUCAGCGGCGGACGGGUGAGUAAUGCCUAGGAAUCUGCCUGGUAGUGGGGGAUAACGUCCGGAAACGGGCGCUAAUACCGCAUACGUCCUGAGGGAGAAAGUGGGGGAUCUUCGGAACUCACGCUAUCAGAUGAGCCUAGGUCGGAUUAGCUAGUUGGUGGGGUACAGGCCUACCAAGGCGACGAUCCGUAACUGGUCUGAGAGGAUGGGUAGUCACACUGGAACUGAGACACGGUGCAGACUCCUACGGGAAGCAGCAGUGGGGAAUAUUAGGGGAUGGGCGAAAGCCUGAUCCAGCCAUGCCGCGUGUGUGAAGAAGGUCUUCGGAUUGUAAAGCACUUUAAGUUGGGAGGAAGGGAAGUAAGUUAAUACCUUGCUGUUUUGACGUUACCAACAGAAUAAGCACCGGCUAACUUCGUG